rnacentral:rRNA from 1 species
UACGUAGGGUGCAAGCGUUGUCCGGAAUUAUUGGGCGUAAAGAGCUCGUAGGCGGUUUGUUGCGUCGGCUGUGAAAACCUGAGGCUCAACCUCAGGCCUGCAGUCGAUACGAGCAGACUAGAGUGUUGCAGGGGAGACUGGAAUUCCUGGUGUAGCGGUGAAAUGCGCAGAUAUCAGGAGGAACACCGGUGGCGAAGGCGGGUCUCUGGGCAACAACUGACGCUGAGGAGCGAAGGCAUGGGGAGCGAACAGG